rnacentral:rRNA from 1 species
UACGUAGGGGGCAAGCGUUGUCCGGAUUUAUUGGGCGUAAAGAGCGUGUAGGCGGUUCGGUAGGUCCGUUGUGAAAACUCGAGGCUCAACCUCGAGACGCCGAUGGAAACCCCCGAACUAGAGUCCGGAAGAGGAGAGUGGAAUUCCCGGUGUAGCGGUGAAAUGCGCAGAUAUCGGGAAGAACACCCGUGGCGAAGGCGGCUCUCUGGGCCUGUACUGACGCUGAGGAGCGAAAGCGUGGGGAGCGAACAGG